rnacentral:lncRNA from 10 species
CUUUCUAUUUUGGAAUGUCAUGCUUAUGCCUUAUCACAAGGACUCCACUAAGAUCAAUAAUCUUAAAAAUGUUUUGUUUGGCCAGGUGUAGUGACUAACGCCUAGAAUCCCAGCACUUUGGGAGGCUGAGGCAGGAUUGCUUGAACCAAGAAUUUCGGGACCAGCUCUGGCAAUAUAGAGAGUCUCCAUCUCUACAAAAAAUACGAAAAUUCACCAGGUGUGGUGGUACAUGCCUGUGGUCCCAGCUACUUAAGAGGCUGAGGCGGGAAGAUUGCUUGAACCUGGGACAUCAAGGCUUCACUGAGCCAUGAUCACACCACCGCACUCCAGUCUGUCUCUCUCUCUCUCUCUUCCUCUCUCUCUCUCUCACACACACACAGACACACACACACACACACACACAGACACACAGUUUUAUUUGUGGGUUAUGUUAGAGACUGUUCAUCUGUCUCUCAAACAAAGGGAUAGAAUUUUGUUCCCCUCACAUUUCUUGGCCAGAUUAGGUGGUUGAAUUAGAUAAGAGUAAGGAUUAAGGGAACCAUGCAAACAGCUGGAUUUUUUUUUAAUGCCACAAUAUGACCUCAAUUACUGGAGUUCACAGAAGUUGCAGAAGACACAUCCGGUGGUCAAGAAAAGGGGAAGCUGCCUUAAGUUUCCUUUUCUCUUGUGAGCGCAACAACCUCCAUCUGUCUUUCUCUGUAACGCUGAAGACAGACACGUGACCCUGGUUCUCACAGAAGAACUUUCAAAUCUAAAAAGCCAUUUUAGGAAAUAAUUGGAAAAGUCUCUGUAGCCUUUGAGCUCCAGGAUAUUUGUUUUCCAGAAUGAUGAGAUUGGUUAUUGAAUGUUUUAAUGGUUGGAAACCAGAGAGUAGCUUUAGAGGCAAGCAGAGGCGCUGCUUUUUAACAGCAGAGGUCAGUAACACCAAAGGGGAAGGAAAUUGAGCAGUCUGGCCAGAAAUUGCAGAUUUCUGUUGCAGACCCAACAGGCAAGAGG